rnacentral:rRNA from 1 species
UACAGAGGUCUCAAGCGUUGUUCGGAUUCAUUGGGCGUAAAGGGUUCGUAGGCGGCGCGGUAAGUCGGGUGUGAAAUCUCGGAGCUUAACUCCGAAACUGCAUUCGAUACUGCCGUGCUUGAGGACUGGAGAGGAGACUGGAAUUUACGGUGUAGCGGUGAAAUGCGUAGAUAUCGUAAGGAAGACCAGUGGCGAAGGCGGGUCUCUGGACAGUUCCUGACACUGAGGCACGAAGGCCAGGGGAGCAAACGGG